UACGAAGGGGGCUAGCGUUGUUCGGAAUCACUGGGCGUAAAGGGCGCGUAGGCGGCUGUUCAAGUCGGGGGUGAAAUCCCGUGGCUCAACCACGGAAUGGCCUUCGAUACUGGACGGCUCGAGACCGGAAGAGGUGAGUGGAACUGCGAGUGUAGAGGUGAAAUUCGUAGAUAUUCGCAAGGACACCAGUGGCGAAGGCGGCUCACUGGUCCGGUUCUGACGCUGAGGCGCGAAAGCGUGGGGAGCAAACAGG
rnacentral:rRNA from 1 species